rnacentral:rRNA from 1 species
AAAACGACUCUCGGCAACGGAUAUCUCGGCUCUCGCAUCGAUGAAGAACGUAGCGAAAUGCGAUACUUGGUGUGAAUUGCAGAAUCCCGUGAACCAUCGAGUUUUUGAACGCAAGUUGCGCCCAAAAGCCAUUAGGCCAAGGGCACGUCUGCCUGGGCGUCUUGC